GUUGUACUUUUGGAUAGCUCUGUUGACAUUCCUCUCAUAGUUGGCCAAUUCUGGGAGUGUAAGAAACAAAUAUAGAAUCAUACUCACUCAGACUUCGCAUAUGGAAGAAACUAACAGAGAGUAUUGGUUGGCUAUUAGCCAUGAUCACCACAGAGGCUGACGUUUUACCUCACGUUAACAGGCUGUGCAAAGGGGGUUUCAAUUACGUUUGGCACAGCACUUAAGAGCAAACAGGCUGCAGAGGCUGUUUUAGCUAGCUACAUUACUUGCAAGAAAGUAAAAUAAGAAUACAACAUACGUUUGAAAAAAGCUGGAAUACAGAGAUGAGUAAAAGGAAAGCGCCACAGGAAUCCCCAAACGAGGGAAUAACAGACUUUCUUCCAGGACCUGAGCCCUAGGACCAUGCCCCAGAACUACCUGACAUGAUGACUCCUUGCUGUCCCCAGUCCACCUGGCCAUGCUGCUGCUCCAGUUUCAACUGUUCUACCUUACUAUUAUUCGACCAUGCUGGACCUGAGCCCUAGGACCGUGCCCCAGGACUACCUGACAUGAUGACUCCUUGCUGUCCCCAGUCCACCUGACUGUGCUGCUGCUCCAGUUUCAACUGUUCUGCCUUAUUAUUAUUAUUCGACCAUGCUGGUCAUUUAUGAACAUUUGAACAUCUUGGCCAUGUUCUGUUAUAAUCUCCACCCGGCGCAGCCAGAAGAGGACUGGCCACCCCACAUAGCCUGGCUCCUCUCUAGGUUUCUUCCUAGGUUUUGGCCUUUCUAGGGAGUUUUUCCUAGCCACCGUGCUUCUACACCUGCAUUGCUUGCUGUUUGGGGUUUUAGGCUGGGUUUCUGUACAGCACUUUGAGAUAUCAGCUGAUGUACGAAGGGCUAUAUAAAUAAAUUUGAUUUGAUUUUGA